rnacentral:lncRNA from 1 species
GAAGAGGGCCUGGCGGCUGGGUGCUACGGUAGGAAGAUCCCGGUGCUGUGGGAGUGGAACAGAUGGUUGAAUGCCAGGCUGGCUUGGUCCUUCUCUCUGGGUGCCGGCUGUGGCUCCCGCCCAGGUGGGCACCACGUCUGAAUAAUGUAUGAAGCCUCUGGUUGCGUGGAGGAUGGGAGCGCUUCGGGCAGCAUCUGUGGGCAGAGCCUUCAGGGAUGUGAGGCCCACUGCUCAGUGGAGCGUGGAGGACGAGGAGGAGGCUGUCCACGAGCAAUGCCAGCAUGAGAGAGACAGGCAGCUUCAGGCGCAGGACGAGGAGGGAGGCGGCCAUGUCCCCGAGCGGCCGAAGCAGGAGAUGCUGUGAGCAGCCCCCUAACGCGUGCCUGGGCUCUAGCCCCUA